rnacentral:rRNA from 1 species
UACGGGGGGGGCAAGCGUUGUUCGGAAUUACUGGGCGUAAAGGGUGCGUAGGCGGUCCGCUAAGUUGGAUGUGAAAACUCUGGGCUUAACCCAGAGCCUGCAUUCAAAACUGACGGGCUAGAGUUCUGGAGGGGGUAGCGGAAUUCCUGGUGUAGCGGUGAAAUGCGUGGAUAUCAGGAGGAACACCGGUGGCGAAGGCGGCUACCUGGACAGAAACUGACGCUGAGGCACGAAAGCUAGGGGAGCAAACAGG